GAUGAAGAACGCAGCGAAAUGCGAUAAGUAAUGUGAAUUGCAGAAUUCAGUGAAUCAUCGAAUCUUUGAACGCACCAUGCGCCCUUUGGCCAUUCCGAAGGGCAUGCCUGUUUGAGUAUCAUGAACACCUCAACUCUUCAUGGUUUUCCGUGAUGAGCUUGGACUUUGGGGGUCUUGCUGGCCUAUGGUCAGCUCCUCUAAAAUAAAUCAGCUUGCCAGUGUUUGGUGGGUAUCACAGGUGUGAUAACUAUCUACGCUUGUGGUUUUCCACCAGGUAACCUUCAGCAGUGGAGGUUCGCUGGAGCUCACAGAUGUGUCUCUCCUCAGUGAGGACAGCUCUUUGAAUGUUUGAUCUCAAAUCAGGUAGGACUACCCGCUGAACUUAAGCAUAUCAAUAAGCGGAGGA
rnacentral:misc_RNA from 1 species